CCCUCCCACGGGGAAUGCCCUUGUAUAAUUCCGAGAAUAGGGCUCGGAAGUCUCUACCGGACAGCCGUAAACUGUCCUGGCUACAAGGGCCUUAUCUUUUAUC
rnacentral:ncRNA from 2 species